rnacentral:tRNA from 1 species
GUUCGCGCGGCUCGCCGCGGGCGCGCGGCUCGGCGCCGCGACGGCGGACGUGGUCGCGCUCGCGGGGCGGUGCGACCCCGCCGCGCGGCUG